UCGUCAUAUGGUUUGCCAUAGAUAUAGCAAGAUGGACCAGGGAGGAGAGGAUUGGAGACUUGGAGACAGAGAAAGCAUACUUCUUGUGGGCCACACAGUGAUCGGGAAAUACCCCAAGAGAGAGUGAAAGGGAGAGGGAGAGACAGAGGGAAGCGUUGAUGUGCCAGUGCCUGGGAACCUGCAACCAAGGAGACAUCACCAUCUGUCCUUCUAGAAAAUAUAUCCCAGACAGUAGUAGAUUUUCAGACCUAAAUGAAUGAUGCAACCCAAAGAACCUACUGAUUGAACAUAAGAAACAUCCCCACAUCCAAGGUGCAGCUUAGUGGAGUGGAAUGAAGCUCAACUGAAGACAGAAAUGAAACAAAUGCUCAUCUGAAGGAGCCAGGGACUGGUGUACACAAGAGAUGUUGGAGAUGGGAGGUAAACACAGAGGCUCUACCACAAAGGGUUGAGACGAGAGGUGGUCUGGGCUCUGCUUAGUCAUGUAAUGGCUCAUGCAGUUGGGGGAGGCCCAGGUCCAAGGAACACACUGAAGGAAGCGUGGGCAGAGGCACAAAUGAAAGAUUUGAGCCUGUCUCAUGAUGCCCCAGCUUAGAGCCUUCAAAGCGUGGCUUCCAAAACCACAACAGACCAACACUUUCCACAGAAAUGGGGAGGAAGUUGUUAGAACAAACACUAUCCCGAAACUUGCCCUAAAUCUGAACCUAAUCAAACCCCAAUGUUUUCUUGAGGUUAGAAAAGGCCUGUCUUAGCAUUUUAAAAACAAUUAUCUAUUUGCCUUUUGUUUCCCAUUUGUAGCCAGAAGUAAAAGUUCUAAAAAAAAAAAAAAAGAAAACAAUUAAAAACUGGGUUUUAUUUUAUAUUGAUUUCUUACUAUAGGUGUCGCCUAGCCAAAACCAGCAAAUGCUGGAAUGGCACAAGUUCGCUCUCCUGAGAUAUGUAGAUCAAAGUCCUUUGGAACUGCCUUGGCUAAGCAACUGAAUAUUUCCAUUCUUAUCCAAACCAAGCUUCAAUCCCUUGCAAUUUACUCAUAUGUAUCCACCUUCUCAAGUGUUCUGAGGCAUUUCUUUCGGCAUACACAUUGGCCUUGAAAGGGUAACAAGCAAUUUUGUGUUGGCAAAAGCUAUAUUUUCAAGUUUAUACCUCCCAACCCUCAUCUAACAAAGAGAACAAGAAUUUCUGGCAACUUUGUUCACGCUCUAUAUAUUCCAUAUAGAGGGAAAAUAUUGGAAAGGCAACAUCAAGUACCCUCGUGCAUAGAUAUUCACUAUUUUGCAAAGAAUUUUUCAAUUUUACACUGCUAAAUAGUCCUCCCUCUUAAGUGUAGAAAUCACUUUG